GAGUUUGAUUCUGGCUCAGAUUGAACGCUGGCGGCAUGCUUUACACAUGCAAGUCGAACGGCAGCACAGGGAGCUUGCUCCUGGGUGGCGAGUGGCGAACGGGUGAGUAAUGUAUCGGAACGUGCCUGGUAGUGGGGGAUAACUACUCGAAAGAGUGGCUAAUACCGCAUGAGAUCUUUGGAUGAAAGCGGGGGACCUUUGGGCCUCGCGCUACUGGAGCGGCCGAUAUCAGAUUAGGUUGUUGGUGGGGUAAAGGCCUACCAAGCCUGCGAUCUGUAGCUGGUCUGAGAGGACGACCAGCCACACUGGGACUGAGACACGGCCCAGACUCCUACGGGAGGCAGCAGUGGGGAAUUUUGGACAAUGGGCGCAAGCCUGAUCCAGCAAUGCCGCGUGCAGGACGAAGGCCUUCGGGUUGUAAACUGCUUUUGUACAGAACGAAAAGUCUCUGGCUAAUAUCUAGAGAUCAU
rnacentral:rRNA from 1 species